GACGGAGGAUGCAAGCGUUAUCCGGAAUGAUUGGGCGUAAAGCGUCCGCAGGCGGCAGUUCAAGUCUGCUGUCAAAGACCGGGGCUUAACUUCGGAAAGGCAGUGGAAACUGAACAGCUAGAGUAUGGUAGGGGCAGAGGGAAUUCCUGGUGUAGCGGUGAAAUGCGUAGAGAUCAGGAAGAACACCGGUGGCGAAGGCGGCAUCCUGGACCAAUACUGACGCUGAGGAGCGAAAGCCAGGGGAGCAAACGGG
rnacentral:rRNA from 1 species